UCCAGACUCCUACGGGAGGCAGCAGUGGGGAAUAUUGGGCAAUGGGCGCAAGCCUGACCCAGCAACGCCGCGUGAAGGAAGAAGGCUCUCGGGUUGUAAACUUCUUUUAUCAGGGACGAAGCAAGUGACGGUACCUGAUGAAUAAGCCACGGCUAACUACGUGCCAGCAGCUGCGGUAAUACGUAGGUGGCAAGCGUUAUCCGGAUUUACUGGGUGUAAAAGGCGUGUAGGCGGGAAAGCAAGUCAGAUGUGAAACCCAUGGGCUCAACCUGUGGCCUGCAUUUGAAACUGUUUUUCUUGAGUACUGGAGAGGCAGACGGAAUUCCUAGUGUAGCGGUGAAAUGCGUAGAUAUUAGGAAGAACACCAGUGGCGAAGGCGGCUUUCUGGACUGAAACUGACGCUGAGGCACGAAAGCGUGGGGAGCGAACAGGAUUAGAUACCCCUGUAAUU
rnacentral:rRNA from 1 species